GUAGUGUAAGGUCUUUUUUGGUUUACACGGAAAGAAGGCAAAAGAUAGAAAAGAGAACGAAACAGGCGAGAGAAAUUAUUUUGAUCGUUCAGAGGUUCUAUGCAAAGGGAAGGUUUUAGUUUGAUUGUUCGUGGCACCCGCUCGGCAUUGAGAGUAUGAUCCAGGCUCCAUCUCUACGCCCCGUGGCUGAUACUCGAGGGUGACAUCUUUCAGUUAUUCAGGGUAAGCUACCUGUCAUCCUUGGCCCUUAAAGGACCUUCUCUAUUUAUUUCUGUUUUUGUAUUCGAUAGACAACAUGUAGCCUUCGGGUAUUUUCAGACUUCUAUUACGUACU